rnacentral:rRNA from 1 species
GAGGGUGCAAGCGUUAUCCGGAUUUACUGGGUUUAAAGGGUGCGUAGGCGGGCAGGUAAGUCCGCGGUGAAAUCCUGGGGCUUAACCCCAGAACUGCCGUUGAUACUAUCUGUCUUGAAUAUUGUGGAGGUGAGCGGAAUAUGUCAUGUAGCGGUGAAAUGCUUAGAUAUGACAUAGAACACCAAUUGCGAAGGCAGCUCACUACGCAGUUAUUGACGCUGAGGCACGAAAGCGUGGGGAUCAAACAGG